rnacentral:lncRNA from 1 species
UUUCAGAUCUUUCAUUAUUUUGAGGUUUUCAACCUCAUUUAGUUUGUUUAUACCGGUGCAAUAUCUCUCUUUCUAAGCAAUCUUUCAACGGUGGUUUCUUUGAGUGGGCCCAUAACCCACAGGUUCUUUCCCAGGAUCUUAUCUGACUCUUGUAAUAUAUUCCCAGAGAUCUCUAAUUCUUUCAACUAUGACGUAAGUAAGG